rnacentral:rRNA from 1 species
UACAGAGGUCCCAAGCGUUGUUCGGAUUCAUUGGGCGUAAAGGGCGCGUAGGCGGCUUGCCAAGUCAGGGGUGAAAUCUUUCGGCUCAACCGGAAAACGGCUCCUGAUACUGGCGGGCUGGAGGGAGGUAGGGGCAGACGGAACUUCCGGUGGAGCGGUGAAAUGCGCAGAUAUCAGGAGGAACACCCGUGGCGAAGGCGGCUCUCUGGGACGGUACUGACGCUGAGACGCGAAAGCGUGGGGAGCGAACAGG